GUGGGGAAUAUUGGGCAAUGGAUGCAAGUCUGACCCAGCCAUCCCGCGUGCCGGAAGAAGGCCCUCAGGGUUGUAAACGGCUUUUGACGGUGAAGAAUCGACAGGAUGCGUCCUGUUUUGACGGUAGCCGUUGAAUAAGCACCGGCUAACUCCGUGCCAGCAGCCGCGGUAAUACGGAGGGUGCGAGCGUUGUCCGGAUUUAUUCGGUUUAAAGGGUGCGUAGGCUGGAAGUUCAGUCAGCGGUGAAAAGCUGUCGCUUAACGAUAGUCUUGCCGCAGAUACUUCCUUUCUUGGAUGAGGAGGAGGCCACUGGAACGGAUGGUGUAGCGGUGAAAUGCAUAGAUAUCAUCCAGAACACCGAUUGCGAAGGCAGGUGGCUGUACCUUAAUCGACGCUGAUGCACGAAAGCAUGGGGAGCAAACAGGAUUAGAAACCCCGGUAGUCC
rnacentral:rRNA from 1 species